rnacentral:rRNA from 1 species
UGGGUCUAAUACCGGAUAUGACCUCCUAUCGCAUGGUGGGUGGUGGAAAGAUUUAUCGGUGCAGGAUGGGCCCGCGGCCUAUCAGCUUGUUGGUGGGGUAAUGGCCUACCAAGGCGACGACGGGUAGCCGACCUGAGAGGGUGACCGGCCACACUGGGACUGAGACACGGCCCAGACUCCUACGGGAGGCAGCAGUGGGGAAUAUUGCACAAUGGGCGAAAGCCUGAUGCAGCGACGCCGCGUGAGGGAUGACGGCCUUCGGGUUGUAAACCUCUUUCAGCAGGGACGAAGCGCAAGUGACGGUACCUGCAGAAGAAGCACCGGCUAACUACGUGCCAGCAGCCGCGGUAAUACGUAGGGUGCAAGCGUUGUCCGGAAUUACUGGGCGUAAAGAGUUCGUAGGCGGUUUGUCGCGUCGUUUGUGAAAACCAGCAGCUCAACUGCUGGCUUGCAGGCGAUACGGGCAGACUUGAGUACUGCAGGGGAGACUGGAAUUCCUGGUGUAGCGGUGAAAUGCGCAGAUAUCAGGAGGAACACCGGUGGCGAAGGCGGGUCUCUGGGCAGUAACUGACGCUGAGGAA